GAAAGGCUACUUUCAGGAUCAUUUCUGUAGUUUGUUACUCGAGGAGUUUCUCCGAGCAUGUGGAGCACCAGAAAU
ensembl:snoRNA U3 Small nucleolar RNA U3